GGGUGCAAUCAUACCAGUACUAAUGCACCGAAUUCCAUCAGAACUCUGCAGUUAAGCUUGCUUGGACGAUGUGCAGUAGUUUUAUACAUACUAGCCUUAUAAGUAAAGUUUUGAUAUGUAUCUA
rnacentral:rRNA from 1 species